rnacentral:rRNA from 1 species
UACGUAGGGUGCGAGCGUUGCCCGGAUUUAUUGGGCGUAAAGGCGCGUAGGCGGCCGCACGCACGUCCGUUGUGAAAUCGCCCCGGCUCAACUGGGCGGGGUCAGCGGAUACGGUGUGGCUCGAGCAAGCUAGGGGGCAAUGGAAUUCCCGGUGUAGUGGUGGAAUGCGUAGAUAUCGGGGAGGAACACCCAGUGGCGAAGGCGGUUGCCUGGAGCUUUGCUGACGCGUGAGGCGCGAAAGCGUGGGGAGCGAUCCGG